GGAAACUUGGCCGAGUGGUUUAAGGCAACGGUCUUGAAAACCGUCGACGGUUAACGCCGUCCGUGAGUUCGAAUCUCACAGUUUCCGCCA
rnacentral:tRNA from 1 species